rnacentral:rRNA from 1 species
GACGAACGCUGGCGGCGUGCUUAACACAUGCAAGUCGAACGGAAAGGCCCUGCUUUUGUGGGGUGCUCGAGUGGCGAACGGGUGAGUAACACGUGAGUAACCUGCCCUUGACUUUGGGAUAACUUCAGGAAACUGGGGCUAAUACCGGAUAGGAGCUCCUGCUGCAUGGUGGGGGUUGGAAAGUUUCGGCGGUUGGGGAUGGACUCGCGGCUUAUCAGCUUGUUGGUGGGGUAGUGGCUUACCAAGGCUUUGACGGGUAGCCGGCCUGAGAGGGUGACCGGCCACAUUGGGACUGAGAGACGGCGCAGACUCCUACGGGAGGCAGCAGUGGGGAAUAUUGCACAAUGGGCGGAAGCCUGAUGCAGCAACGCCGCGUGCGGGAUGACGGGCUUCGGGUUGUAAACCGAUUUCGCCGGUGACGAAGAGUGAGUGACGGUAAUGGGUAAAGAAGCACCGGCUAACUACGUG